UUUAGAAUUCUUCUGGGUUAAGACCUGAAAACACAAGAAGUUUACCAACAUCUGACUUCUAACCCUGCUGUACCCUUCUUCACAUCUCUACAGAUGACCACAGAGAGACAAGUAGCCACAGUACAGAGGUGACACAAACACAGGACCUGACUUGGGCACACUUCUGCCAGCAGGAUGUUCCCCUCUGGCAAGGGAAUUUUCUGUUGCUAUUUGUGGUCACGCUGGGUGUGUCUACACAAGACGUUUACUGCACAGUUGACCAAUUAACUGCAUAGGAAGCAUUUUGGUAUCUACACAUGCACCUCUAUUAGGGUACAUGAAACUAAUAAACUCCUCAGCAAGCUG